CAGCAGCCGCGGUAAUACGAAGGGUGCAAGCGUUAAUCGGAAUUACUGGGCGUAAAGCGUGCGUAGGCGGUUUGUUAAGUCUGCUGUGAAAUCCCCGGGCUCAACCUGGGAAUGGCAGUGGAUACUGGCAAGCUAGAGUGUGUCAGAGGAUGGUGGAAUUCCCGGUGUAGCGGUGAAAUGCGUAGAGAUCGGGAGGAACAUCAGUGGCGAAGGCGGCCAUCUGGGACAACACUGACGCUGAGGCACGAAAGCGUGGGGAGCAAACAGGAUUAGAUACCCGAGUAGUCCCUGUCUCUUAUAA
rnacentral:rRNA from 1 species